GCUAUUGCACUUUCAGCCUGAUGGGGAAUAAAUUCAACACAAAUUAAUUCUUGUACCAAACAGUAAUAAAUAUAGAGGACAACAUAAACUACGGGAGAAGCACGAAGUGAGCCUACAACUCAACACUAUUCUUUUACUUUUUGUUUUCUUUAGCAUAAAGCACUCCAUUUAUCAGAUAAUUAGAAGUCAACAAUGAAAUGUACCCACUUAUCAAACUGCAAUCAACAUGCAUGUCUAUGCCUUCUAGUACAAACUAAAACAAAUCAUAGCAUCAAAAAUUUCCUUCAUGCACCAUAAGCUGAGGCUAGGUACACUAGGGCUUUCCAUUACCACAAUCAUCCAAAAACAUUCCAGAGCAAAUACUGGACCAACUAAUAACAACUUCAAAUGCCCAGCACAACUAUAUUAUAAUUGAACUAACAGAAACAAUCAUAAACAUUAUGGGUAUUUGUCAAACUUAGAGUUCAGACAUCUACAAUGACCGUGCUCUUUUUGAUACCAACUGGUAGGGCUCUGCACGGUUUUUAGGGGUCCCAAACUGCACCGAACCAAACUUAUAUUGAUAUUGUGGUUCAAUUCUAGUUCUUCACUAAGAAUCGAACCGAACUAUAUCUAAAUCGAACUGGAAUCGCACAGAACCAAAACUGAAAAUAUAUAUAUACACAACCUAAUAUUACAUUUUAUGUUUAUAUUUUCUUAAUACUUUUAGAUUUAAAUACAUCAAAUUACCUUAUAAUUCUCAAUUAUAAGUGUACUAUUAUUCUAUAUAUGCUUAAUUUAUAAUUAUAUUUGUAUCUUAUAAUUAAAUAUUUACAUAAUCAAUAAAUUGCUAAAAGAUAUAUUAUAUAAUAUGUUAUAUAUUAAUAAUCUACAUUAAAACUUGAACAUUAUUUCAAAUAUGACAUUUUUAUGGAAAUAAUUGCAUAAAAUUAUUUGAAGAACCGAGAAUCAAACUAAAAUCGGAACCGAAGAACUAAGAACAGUACCAAACCAAAACCAAAACAAUGAAAAACCAAACCGAAACUCUACCAAAAUUUCAAGUUCGGUUUUGGUUCUUAGGUAGAUCCCGAACCACAACCAGAACCAAAUUCACACACUCCUACUAACCGGCAAUGAAAUUCAAAGUUAAAAUUGCUAAUCUACAAUUACCGAGUAAAUGUGCCUCCUCAAAACUCUAAUUUGCAUCCUACAAAUGACAAGGAUACCAAUUAUACACCAAGUCCUGAGAGCAUCCAAUUAAUACUAAAAUGUUGAAAGAUAAAAGCGUUUCCAAAUUUCUACCUUCUAGAGCCCUAUUUUGGUUGGGCUUGAACCAUAAACUAGGUAAUUGCUUUUUGCUUGCUAUUCUUAACAAUAGCAAAUCAUUUCAGUAGAG
rnacentral:misc_RNA from 1 species